rnacentral:lncRNA from 1 species
AGAAGAGAAGGCGGGUUUUCCGGGUGCUGUGGUGCUGGUUUCGCUUAGUAGCUGAGCAGGUUUGAAUGGUACUUGUGUGCUGUGCUCUCUGUCAUGCCGCUGGAUGCUGUGGAGGGUGCUCAGGCAAGCCCCGAAGUUGUGACAUGGUGAGCACAUGAUCACUGCCAACAAUGGGGAGAACCAUGGGUCUGAGGAGCGCGAGCUGGUGUGGUGGGUCUUUCCCGGGACUGAGUGGGAAUCGGCGGCCACGUGUGAGGUCCUAGCCACUCGCUGAACCCAGUUGUAGCCUCAGAAUAACUUCACUGUGGGGGCUACAUCUGUGCAGAGCAUUUGGCUUGUGUGUAGAAAGAUCCUUGGCAUGAUCCCAAACUCAGAGAGUCCUAGUUUCUACAAUCCAUUUGGAGUUAAUUUUGUGGUGGUUAUAAAAGGCAUCUCAUGUGCUGGGUAGCAAUCCAAUAUCAAGCUGUGAUGUGAAAGAGUAGAAUUGAUGAUGUAAAGGAUUUAAUAAAGCUUAGGAGAUAGUAAGGCACAGCAAGUAGAAUUUAGGUGAGGGCUGACUGCCUGUAAAACACCCCACAGAUAAGUAAUGUGCUAGCCAGGGCAAUUAGAGAUUAGGAAGCUAGGAUACACAUGUUUGUUCACCAGGAUUGUCCAGAAAUAUGGUGCCAAACCAUAACAAAGGAAACAAACUUGAUUUACAACCAGCCACUAGGUCCAUCUCCAUAUCAAAGAGCAGGCCUUUAACAAGCUGCUCUAUGGAGCAUUACAGGAUUACAAUCAACAGUAAGGCCUAGUGUGCUAUAAAGGUUCAAUUUUCUUCUUGAGAAAAGCAUAGUUCUGCCACAUGGGUGAGAUGAUACCUAGUGACAACCAUUUGAGAAGGUAAAAAA